AGAGCGAACGCUGGCGGCAGGCCUAAUACAUGCAAGUCGAACGGACCCUUCGGGGUUAGUGGCGGACGGGUGAGUAACACGUGGGAACGUGCCCUUUGGUUCGGAACAACUCAGGGAAACUUGAGCUAAUACCGAAUGUGCCCCCAUCCUUAAACAAGAUGGGUGGGAAAGAUUUAUCGCCAUUGGAGCGGCCCGCGUCUGAUUAGCUAGUUGGUGGGGUAAAGGCUCACCAAGGCGACGAUCAGUAGCUGGUCUGAGAGGAUGAUCAGCCACACUGGGACUGAGACACGGCCCAGACUCCUACGGGAGGCAGCAGUAGGGAAUCUUGCGCAAUGGGCGAAAGCCUGACGCAGCCAUGCCGCGUGAAUGAUGAAGUCUUAGGAUUGUAAAAUUCUUUCAGCGGGACGAUAAUGACGGUACCGCAGAAGACGCCCGGCUAACUCGUGCCAGCAGCCGC
rnacentral:rRNA from 1 species